AUGGAUGCAAGUGCUAGUAGAGGGAACGGGUCAGCUGAUCCGAGCGUUCUUCUGGAAAGACUGCAUCUAGAAGAUGACGAACUUGACAACUUAGUCUGGGAGGAUGAAGCAGAAGAACCUGAAGAGAAGCCCAAGUGGCUUGCGAUUGCUAGGGUUCUAACAGGGAAAUCCUUUGGCCAAGGUGCUCUGAUCGCGGAUAUGAAGGCCGCAUGGAACCCAGCACGUGAAGUGAUCUGGCGCAGAAUUAACUCCAACCUGUUCUCGGUGUAGUUCCAAUGUCUGGCAGAUUGGAACAAAGCAAUGCAUCAAGGACCAUGGGAUUUCAAGGGUAUGGCCCUUGUGAUUGCUGAGUAUGACGGGUUUAAAAACCCAGAAUCAGUGAAGCUUGAUAGGAUUGAAACCUGGUGUCAAAUCCACAAACUCCCGGAUAUGGUGCUGAAGCGAGAGAGAUUUGUGAAGUCCAUGGCUGAGCGUAUUGGUGAGGUAUUUAGAACUACAAAUAGUACUGCCUAA
rnacentral:rRNA from 1 species